CAGUUCAUACCGCGUUUGUUCUUUCUCAGUCCGUUGAAGCUUUCAAGUGCAGAUAUUUCCACAUAAGAUAAUAAAGAAUAAUUAUUUUUUAAGCAACAGUUAAUUUAACAUUUUUAAUUUUACAACGAGUAUUGAGAGUGCAAAAACAGUAGUUAGAAAAGAUGAUCAACGGCUACUUUAAAAUAUGUUUGUGCGGCUACUCGAGACAGAUUCCAAGAAAAAAAUUAUUAUUUAAACCUGAAGAAACAUAGAUGAAUAAAAAUAUCUUUUUUAAUAAAAAUUACUCCUAACGAUCCAUGAGGUCUUUAUACUGGGGAUGAGGAAUAACACAGCCACACACAAAAAAAAGUGUGCGGAUCUGGUAACAAGACACACGUAUUCCUAU